UGUGCCCUUCACCUCUUCCCUGUCUCUGUCACUUUGGGGAAGAGGAGUUGGGGGAAGGAGAACCUACUGCCUGCUUCACUGUAUUGUCCCUAUUGUUUUGCAGAGAGAAUAAAAGCCCGCGAAUACAUCGUCA